CCUACGGGUGGCAGCAGUGGGGAAUAUUGCACAAUGGGGGAAACCCUGAUGCAGCGACGCCGCGUGAAGGAAGAAGUAUCUCGGUAUGUAAACUUCCAUUAGCAGGGAAGAAAAUGACGGUACCUGACUACGAAGCCCCGGCUAACUACGAGCCAGCAGCCGCGGGAAUACGUCGGGGGCAAGCGUUAUCCGGAUGUAAUGGGUGUUAAGGGCGCGUAGUGGGUUUAGCAAGUCAGUCGGGAAAGCACGGGGGUCAAAUCCGGGACUGCUUUUGAAACUGUUGGACUAGAUUGCAGGAGAGGUAAGUGGAAUUCGUGGUGUAGCGGUGAAAUGCGUAGAUAUUAGGCAGAACACCAGUGGCGAAGGCAGCUUACUGGAGUGUAAAUGACGCUGAGGCUCGAAAGCGUGGGGAGCGAACAGGAUUAGAUACCCCAGUAGUC
rnacentral:rRNA from 1 species